ACAGUGCCACGGCCGUCUGAGCUAAGGUUCUGAGAAACUUCAAAAGGCGCAGAAAUCUGCGCCUUUUUU
rfam:Yokenella regensburgei ATCC 43003 genomic scaffold Scfld3, whole genome shotgun sequence.